AGAGUUUGAUCCUGGCUCAGGACGAACGCUGGCGGCGUGCUUAACACAUGCAAGUCGAGCGGAAAGGCCCUUCGGGGUACUCGAGCGGCGAACGGGUGAGUAACACGUGAGCAAUCUGCCCUUAGCUUCGGGAUAGCUCCGGGAAACCGGAAUUAAUACCGAAUAUGACUUCGGCCGACAUCGGCUGCGGUGGAAAGUUUUUCGGCUAGGGAUGAGCUCGCGGCCUAUCAGCUUGUUGGUGGGGUAACGGCCUACCAAGGCGACGACGGGUAGCCGGCCUGAGAGGGCGACCGGCCACACUGGGACUGAGACACGGCCCAGACUCCUACGGGAGGCAGCAGUGGGGAAUAUUGCGCAAUGGGCGAAAGCCUGACGCAGCGACGCCGCGUGGGGGAUGAAGGCCUUCGGGUUGUAAACCCCUUUCAGCAGGGACGAAGCGAAAGUGACGGUACCUGCAGAAGAAGCGCCGGCUAACUACGUGCCAGCAGCCGCGGUAACACGUAGGGCGCAAGCGUUGUCCGGAAUUAUUGGGCGUAAAGAGCUCGUAGGUGGUCCGCUGCGUCCGCUGUGAAAAUCCAGGGCUUAACCCUGGACUUGCAGUGGAUACGGGCAGACUAGAGGUAGGUAGGGGAGAAUGGAAUUCCCGGUGUAGCGGUGAAAUGCGCAGAUAUCGGGAGGAACACCGGUGGCGAAGGCGGUUCUCUGGGCCUUACCUGACACUGAGGAGCGAAAGCGUGGGGAGCGAACAGGAUUAGAUACCCCAGUAGUCC
rnacentral:rRNA from 1 species